rnacentral:misc_RNA from 1 species
AUCAAACAUUAAUAAAGAAUUGGAAACAAAAAUAAAACUGUUGGACUUCAUCACGCUUUAAAAUUAAGAGGCAAAAUCGCACAAGAAAAUUUUGACAUUUAAACUAAAGCUUGAUCAUGCAACUAAGCACACUGAAGUGUUUAAUCAAUGAAUUAAUUAAACCCGGGCAAGAUAAAGUACUUAAAUAUAGUUUAAAUCAAACACACAAUUCCUUAACUUCUAGCAAUACUUUUAACUUGUGUAUCAGAAUAACACAACCUCCGUUAGUCCACUUAGAAUACUAGAUCCUCAUUAAUAAUUUCAUACCCAAUAGUAAAUCCUUCGAUUAUAUGUCAUGAUCCUGCACAUAUGAACUUAAAUCCACUGAUAUAAAAAUACAUGUGUGCGUCUACAAAAGAAUAAAUGAAACCCACACUACAUUAAUCCACUGCUUUUACAAAUUUUGACAGCCAACUGAAGUAUACGACUCAAACCGUGUCUAGCUUCUAUAAAUAUCUUGCCCAAACUUUGUAAUUAUGUGAUCAAAAGAACUAAACCUAGCUUUGAUCAAUAUGUCUUCACUUUAGCUUAUGAAUGCCUACUAGUACUACCGAUAUCAAGAGAAUCAUUGUGAAAAUGUAGAUUUCGGGAAAUAAAAACAAAAUUAGGUCUACAAAAGACAGUGUACCUUGUCGGGGCGGGCCCCCGUAUGGUUCGUGAUG